rnacentral:rRNA from 1 species
CCUACGGGAGGCAGCAGUGAGGAAUAUUGGUCAAUGGACGAGAGUCUGAACCAGCCAAGUAGCGUGAAGGAUGACUGCCCUAUGGGUUGUAAACUUCUUUUAUAAAGGAAUAAAACGAGGCACGUGUGCCUUUUGGCAUGUACUUUAUGAUUAAGGAUCGGCUAACUCCGCGCCAGCAGCCGCGGUAAUACGGAGGGUCCGAGCGUUAUCCGGAUUUAUUGGGUUUAAAGGGAGCGUAGAUGGGUUGGUAAGUCAGUUGUGAAAGUUUGCGGCUCAACCGUAAAAUUGCAAUUGAUACUGGCAGUCUUGAGUACAGUAGAGGUAGGCGGAAUUCGUGGUGUAGCGGUGAAAUGCUUAGAUAUCACGAAGAACCCCGAUUGCGAAGGCAGCUUACUAAACUGUGACUGACAUUGAUGCUCGAAAGUGUGGGUAUCAAACAGGAUUAGAUACCCCUGUAGUC